GAUGAACGCUGGCGGCGUGCCUAAUACAUGCAAGUCGAGCGAACGGACGAGAAGCUUGCUUCUCUGAUGUUAGCGGCGGACGGGUGAGUAACACGUGGAUAACCUACCUAUAAGACUGGGAUAACUUCGGGAAACCGGAUCUAAUACCGGAUAAUAUUUUGAACCGCAUGGUUCAAAAGUGAAAGACGGUCUUGCUGUCACUUAUAGAUGGAUCCGCGCUGCAUUAGCUAGUUGGUAAGGUAACGGCUUACCAAGGCAACGAUGCAUAGCCGACCUGAGAGGGUGAUCGGCCACACUGGAACUGAGACACGGUCCAGACUCCUACGGGAGGCAGCAGUAGGGAAUCUUCCGCAAUGGGCGAAAGCCUGACGGAGCAACGCCGCGUGAGUGAUGAAGGUCUUCGGAUCGUAAAACUCUGUUAUUAGGGAAGAACAUAUGUGUCAGUAACUGUGCACAUCUUGACGGUAACUAAUCAGAAAGCCACGGCUAACUACGUG
rnacentral:rRNA from 1 species